CAUAUGGGUUGAUCGAGUCAUCCUUGGGCUUAUAUGUAGUUUGUGUGAAUUUUAAUAUCCGCUAAAGAAUUAAGAUAAUUUUUUGAAUUAGAGGUAGAGGCUACCAAUUUGUAUAAAAUAGUGGGAGAACCUUUAGACUAAAGUCAAAGUAUUUAGGAUUAAUAAAUUCAUAUACUAAUUAGGCUUUGUUCUUUCUUUGUGUGUAU
rnacentral:lncRNA from 1 species